UUUUUUUUUUUUUUUACAAAUUAACCAAAAAUGUAGAUUCUUUUUAGUACAUCUAAUGUGAGGUUUUCCUUCUCCAUUGGUUCUUUCCCUUGCCUUGGCCUUUAUUCACACAGUAUGGUUGCAACUUCAAAUAGUCAUUCCCGGUGAAAGACCUCUCACACAAGCUGGCUGACAGCAAGGAAUCUGAAAUGGAGACAGUCCAUAACUACACACAGAUCAGGGUGGUACUGGCCAUAAAUCAUGGGUCCUCUUCUGUUGUCUUUAUUGAAUGCUGACAGUGGUCAUUGUGAUACAUUCUAAAGGGUGGUCCACGCAGCAUGUCCAGAGCUGUGAUAAAGGUAGGAAUUCCAUCCACAAUGAAUUUAGCAAAGACAAAAACCUCAUCAAAGCAAAGCCCCUUCCCUGAGAAAAAGUAAAAUCUAUUAACUUGUUACACUUUUGUCAAAAGUGCUGAUUUCCAUAGAGGUAACUGUCAGCCAUUGUGCUUAUGGACAAAACACCUGAAAAACAGAUUUAGAUGAGAACUGGUGGCUUUCUUCAAAAAUAAUUCCUGUCUAUUCUUAUGCCGGGAAGGGAUGCGCUGCAAACAUUAGCAGUAAGGAUGGUUUAUUUUAUGGGAAAAGCAAUCUGGUAGAUUUCAGACAGAACACUAAACUUGUGUGGUCAUGCAAAUCUCAUAAGCAUGAACUAAAACAUGCUGAGUACAUCAAUUAACCAGAGCUCCUAUUAGAUUUUUUUUUCCUACAAAAAUGGUUUCUCAUCUCAAAACAUCUUUUAAGUUGUUCCCCUUUCAAAGACUAAGGAUGUGCUCGUGGUAACAGACUGCUUCUCAUCACUAUACGGAGAGAAUUAAUCUAAUGAAGAGUUUCUAUUUAGGAAGAAGCAGUAGGAGGAAAGGGCAACCUAGCUUUGGAGCUUCCACUAGACUGGGUGGAGUUUUGCAGGCUGAAGAAGCAGCUGGAAAUUCGGAUGACAGUUUUGAAAGAUGGAUGAUCAGGAAAAGGUCACCGAAAUUGAAAUGGUGGGUGGGAAAGUGGAGCAGGCCAGGAGAAGGUGGCAAAACUGAAUCAUCUCAUGCGUGUUAAAGCUUUUAAGGAACUCUUUUCUUUUUACUUCAAACAGUUUGCUAUUCUCCCUAGUGACUAACUGUCCCAUGAACUGAAUAGACUAUUGGCCUUUUUUCUCCCACCCAAACCAAUUCUAAAAGCAAUUUUUUAAAUCCAGUGUAUAUGAUAAAAGAUAUACAAGACCUGAGUCAAAUCGUGAAUGUGUGUCUUCUGCUUAAGUAUGAAUUUUUUAAGGUGAAUGUUUGUUCCCAAACUACCUUAAAAACAUUGUGUGUAUUGACAAAACUAACUAUAGCUUAGAAAAUUCCUUUGGCACAAGCUGGCAUGAUCAGCCACAAAAUCUUCUUCUGACUUAAAAGCUGAACCAAAUAAAACUUGACAGCAAGGCACAGUAUUUUAUAGGCAAAGUGACAUUUUAUAAUAAUGGAAUAAUAAAUGCAGAAGGGAAAAUGAAGCAAGGCUGAAAUAUCAUCUCAGACCCAUUGGCUACCAAAGAGGGGUGAAUCUCAAUUAGACCUUUCCUAUUCCUAUUGCACUAGUAAUUAUGACAUGACUGAAGCACUCUUAAACUUAGAGAACUCCAAUAUUUCUAAUCAUGUUGUCACAUAUCUCCCAUCACUUGUUUCUAUGAGAAUCUGAUGAUACAGUGCGGAAGCCUUGGUAGCAUGCUGAAGUGGAUGGAAGAAAGCGAAGGGAAAAUCACAGGACCACUUUAUCAAGCACUUCGAUUUGGAACCAAAUCCAGCAAUGUUUAAGUCAUCCUGAUGAACACAGUCAACCCAAAGCAUAUCUACAAUUUGACAUAAAUCAGAUUACAAAUGGAAUGAAUAAAGACCACAAAAUGUGUUUUGGGUUCACAAUGGACUCCAGACUGGAAAAGCCCAUCAGUCCUCAUUUUCUUCACUUAGAAAGAGACUUUUCCACAAAAGGAUGAUGUUGGCGUAAUAGAGAAAAUAAACCGAGGCAACAAGGAACUUACAAUCAUCAAAUUUGUAGAUUGCUCCCAUGCUGAACUGUGCCUAUAAAAAUAACUGAGAAACCUCACAUGUGUAUGUAACUUGAAAGGUGAAUGACAAGAAGAGGUGAAUUGCAGGGACAUCGGUGACAGAAAACACAUGAUCGUAUUGGGAAGAGAUAGCAGUGUGUGCAUGUGAGCGUGCGC